rnacentral:rRNA from 1 species
UCGACGGCAGCACGGGAGCAAUCCUGGUGGCGAGUGGCGAACGGGUGAGUAAUGUAUCGGAACGUACCUUUCAGUGGGGGAUAACGUAGCGAAAGUUACGCUAAUACCGCAUAUUCUGUGAGCAGGAAAGCAGGGGAUCGCAAGACCUUGCGCUGAUUGAGCGGCCGAUAUCAGAUUAGCUAGUUGGUGAGGUAAAGGCUCACCAAGGCGACGAUCUGUAGCGGGUCUGAGAGGAUGAUCCGCCACACUGGAACUGAGACACGGUCCAGACUCCUACGGGAGGCAGCAGUGGGGAAUUUUGGACAAUGGGGGCAACCCUGAUCCAGCCAUGCCGCGUGAGUGAAGAAGGCCUACGGGUUGUAAAGCUCUUUCAGCCGGGAAGAAAUCACAUGGGUUAAUACCCUGUGUGGAUGACGGUACCGGAAUAAGAAGCACCGGCUAACUACGUGCCAGCAGCCGCGGUAAUACGUAGGGUGCGAGCGUUAAUCGGAAUUACUGGGCGUAAAGCGUGCGCAGGCGGUUUGUUAAGAUAGGCGUGAAAUCCCCGGGCUCAACCUGGGAACUGCGUUUAUGACUGGCAGGCUAGAGUAUGGCAGAGGGGGGUGGAAUUCCACGUGUAGCAGUGAAAUGCGUAGAGAUGUGGAGGAACACCGAUGGCGAAGGCAGCCCCCUGGGCCAAUACUGACGCUCAUGCACGAAAGCGUGGGUAGCAAACAGGAUUAGAUACCCUGGUAGUCCACGCCCUAAACGAUGUCAACU